rnacentral:rRNA from 1 species
GCGCGAAAACUUUNCAAUGCGGGAAACCGUGACAGGGGAACUCCGAGUGCCCGUUAAAUCGGGCUGUCCACCAGUUUAAAUAACUGGUGAAGAAAGGGCCGGGCAAGACCGGUGCCAGCCGCCGCGGUAAUACCGGCGGCUCGAGUGGUGGCCACUAUUACUGGGCUUAAAGCGUUCGUAGCUGGUUUGUUAAGUCUCUGGGGAAAUCUUCCGGCUUAACCGGAAGGCGUCUCAGGGAUACUGGCAGACUAGGGACCGGGAGAGGUGAGGGGUACUCCAGGUGUAGGA